rnacentral:sRNA from 1 species
GUUGGUGUCAGACACAUGUGGAAAAGAAAAGAACAGGCCCAUAAUUUUGGCUCAGUACCCAGGGCCAGAUGUUAAAGGUCCCCAGUCUAUGUGAGGAUCUCCUGUCUUCUGUCGACCAGCCACUAAAAAUUGCCAGAGACAAGGUGGUGGGAAAGGAUUACCUUUUGUGUGACUACAACAGAGAUGGGGACUCCUAUAGGUCACCAUGGAGUAACAAGUAUGACCCUCCCUUGGAGGAUGGGGCCAUGCCGUCGGCUCGGCUGAGAAAGCUGGAGGUGGAAGCCAACAAUGCCUUUGACCAGUAUCGAGACCUGUAUUUUGAAGGCGGCGUCUCAUCUGUCUACCUCUGGGAUCUGGAUCAUGGCUUUGCUGGAGUGAUCCUCAUAAAGAAGGCUGGAGAUGGAUCAAAGAAGAUCAAAGGCUGCUGGGAUU